CCUACGGGAGGCUGCAGUGGGGAAUAUUGGACAAUGGGCGCAAGCCUGAUCCAGCCAUGCCGCGUGAGUGAUGAAGGCCUUAGGGUUGUAAAGCUCUUUUAGCAGGGACGAUAAUGACGGUACCUGCAGAAAAAGCCCCGGCCAACUUCGUGCCAGCAGCCGCGGUAAUACGAAGGGGGCUAGCGUUGCUCGGAAUCACUGGGCGUAAAGCGCACGUAGGUGGGUCGUUAAGUCGGGGGUGAAAUCCCAGAGCUCAACUCUGGAACUGCCUUCGAUACUGGCGACCUUCGAGUUCGGGAGAGGUGAGUGGAACUGCGAGUGUAGAGGUGAAAUUCGUAGAUAUUCGCAAGAACACCAGUGGCGAAGGCGGCUCACUGGCCCGAUACUGACACUGAGGUGCGAAAGCGUGGGGAGCAAACAGGAUUAGAUACCCUAGUAGUC
rnacentral:rRNA from 1 species